UACGUAGGGUGCGAGCGUUGUCCGGAGUUAUUGGGCGUAAAGGGCUCGUAGGCGGCCUGUCGCGUCGGGAGUGAAAACUCAGGGCUUAACCCUGAGCCUGCUUCCGAUACGGGCAGACUAGAGGUAUGCAGGGGAGAACGGAAUUCCUGGUGUAGCGGUGAAAUGCGCAGAUAUCAGGAGGAACACCGGUGGCGAAGGCGGUUCUCUGGGCAUUACCUGACGCUGAGGAGCGAAAGUGUGGGGAGCGAACAGG
rnacentral:rRNA from 1 species